rnacentral:rRNA from 1 species
UACGUAGGCAGCAAGCGUUGUUCGGAGUUACUGGGCGUAAAGAGUGCGUAGGUGGUUCUCUAAGUUCGGUGUGAAAUCUCCCGGCUCAACUGGGAGGGUGCGCCGAAAACUGGAGGGCUUGAGUAUGGGAGAGGAGAGCGGAAUUCCUGGUGUAGCGGUGAAAUGCGUAGAUAUCAGGAGGAACACCUGUGGUGCAGACGGCUCUCUGGACCAUUACUGACACUGAGGCACGAAAGCGUGGGGAGCAAACAGG